rnacentral:sRNA from 12 species
CUGAAGGUGGUGAAAGCUGAAGUAAUUUGUUUAGCCCCAGAGCAGGUAUAGAACUGCUCCAAGAAAGUACCUCACUGCUGAGCUCCAGGACCACCUGUAGGGAUGAAAGGGCACUUCGGGACCCAGGUCCAUUCAGGGCUUGGCUUCC